CCCUGCGGAUGGAGCUGAGACCAGUCGAAGAUACCAGCUGGCUGCAACUGUUUAUUAAAAACACAGCACUGUGCAAACACGAAAGUGGACGUAUACGGUGUGACGCCUGCCCGGUGCCGGAAGGUUAAUUGAUGGGGUUAUCCGUAAGGAGAAGCUCUUGAUCGAAGCCCCGGUAAACGGCGGCCGUAACUAUAACGGUCCUAAGGUAGCGAAAUUCCUUGUCGGGUAAGUUCCGACCUGCACGAAUGGCGUAAUGAUGGCCAGGCUGUCUCCACCCGAGACUCAGUGAAAUUGAACUCGCUGUGAAGAUGCAGUGUACCCGCGGCAAGACGGAAAGACCCCGUGAACCUUUACUAUAGCUUGACACUGAACAUUGAGCCUUGAUGUGUAGGAUAGGUGGGAGGCUUUGAAGCGUGGACGCCAGUCUGCGUGGAGCCAACCUUGAAAUACCACCCUUUAAUGUUUGAUGUUCUAACGUUGGCCCCUUACCGGGGUUGCGGACAGUGUCUGGUGGGUAGUUUGACUGGGGCGGUCUCCUCCCAAAGCGUAACGGAGGAGCACGAAGGUUAGCUAAUCCUGGUCGGACAUCAGGAGGUUAGUGCAAUGGCAUAAGCUAGCUUGACUGCGAGCGUGACGGCGCGAGCAGGUGCGAAAGCAGGUCAUAGUGAUCCGGUGGUUCUGAAUGGAAGGGCCAUCGCUCAACGGAUAAAAGGUACUCCGGGGAUAACAGGCUGAUACCGCCCAAGAGUUCAUAUCGACGGCGGUGUUUGGCACCUCGAUGUCGGCUCAUCACAUCCUGGGGCUGAAGUAGGUCCCAAGGGUAUGGCUGUUCGCCAUUUAAAGUGGUACGCGAGCUGGGUUUAGAACGUCGUGAGACAGUUCGGUCCCUAUCUGCCGUGGGCGCUGGAGAAUUGAGGGGGGCUGCUCCUAGUACGAGAGGACCGGAGUGGACGCAUCACUGGUGUUCGGGUUGUCAUGCCAAUGGCACUGCCCGGUAGCUAAAUGCGGAAGAGAUAAGUGCUGAAAGCAUCUAAGCACGAAACUUGCCCCGAGAUGAGUUCUCCCUGAGACUUUAAGUCUCCUGAAGGAACGUUGAAGACGACGACGUUGAUAGGCCGGGUGUGUAAGCGCAGCGAUGCGUUGAGCUAACCGGUACUAAUGAACCGUGAGGCUUAACCUU
rnacentral:rRNA from 1 species